GUUUCAGCUGUUUUGUCUCAUCUUUGUCACUUGUGGUCUUGCAGGACAAGGAUGCUAAGUUCCGCCUGAUUCUGGUUGAGAGCAGAAUCCACAGGCUUGCCCGCUACUACAAGACCAAGAGAGUACUUGCCCCCAACUGGAAGUACGAAUCCUCCACAGCUUCUGCAUUGGUGGCAUAAAUUUGCAGUUUUUGGACAAAUAAAAUAUCUUGAUCAAUUCAUGUGUUUGUUAUUUCUGUCAGACUGAUUUGCUGUACUCCAGUUGGGUAUAGAACUGCUGCAGUUACAUUUUUUUUUUUUAGUAGAAUACAACGGUUACAUAUGUGUGUAUUGUCACGUAGACGUCUCAUUCAGAAUCCAUCAUAACUGAAUAUUCACUUUGCUCUUUUCAAACAAAGUUAUUUUAUGGUUGAUGCAGUUGGAAAGAUUUGUGAAUCUUUUGAGCAUUUAUUUUUUCUGUUUAAAUGAUAAUUUUAUAGAUAUUAAAAUAAGUUUUGUGGCCAGCAUUUUGUAGUGUGUGGGCAGUAUCAUUUUGUGUUAUUGACAGUGUAAGAACAUUGAGAAUAAAUGAGUUGGAAGUAUUGCUCAAAAUGGAAAAAAAGAGGCAUGUUGAUAUAUUAGGUAUUGUCUCAUGGACAUUAAUUUCAAUGAAUGGCCAGAGAUCUAAAUACAUGUUUAGCUGGCACCCAGAUUAAAAAUAACUAUAUGCCAUUAUUUGUAAAAAAAAAAGAAGAAUAAAUCAAAUGUUUGCGCACCUGUACUGGAUCAUGAGAUGCUACUGUUUUGAGGAAUAUAUUCAUGGCUCAGUAAGUUUAUAAAAGUUUACUAGCUCACUAGGUGUGUGUCAUUAGUAUAUAAGGAAAUUAUUCAAUUAGAUUAAGACUGGUAACUCUUCAUACAGAGAAAGACUAGAGAGGGAAAACUCGAUUCUUUGUAAGGUGCUGCAUGUUGAUACACUGAAUAAGUGACGGCGCUAAGGAGCUCGUCCACUAGAGGUCAGUGCUCA
ensembl:lncRNA